rnacentral:rRNA from 1 species
UACGUAGGGGGCAAGCGUUAUCCGGAUUUACUGGGUGUAAAGGGGGCGCAGACGGCGAUGCAAGCCAGGAGUGAAAGCCCGGGGCCCAACCCCGGGACUGCUCUUGGAACUGCGUGGCUGGAGUGCAGGAGGGGCAGGCGGAAUUCCUGGUGUAGCGGUGAAAUGCGUAGAUAUCAGGAGGAACACUGGUGGCGAAGGCGGCCUGCUGGACUGCAACUGACGUUGAGGCCCGAAAGCGUGGGGAGCAAACAGG